rnacentral:snoRNA from 1 species
UGUGGCCCUUAUCGAAGCUGCAGCUUCUUCCACGUAGCUGCUGUGGUCAAAAAGGAGCCCAGAGUGACAGUUUCCCUUGACGGUCACUGCUCUGUUUGCUGUAACCGAUCUGCAACAUUUCAGGAAAAGACAGUU